UCGACAUCGAUACACGGCAAUUCCGGCGAGCGCUGUAUAAAACGGGACCGAGCAAGUUUCAUGGAAACGCCACAUCGUAACGAGCGCAACCCUGGAAUAAUCGAGCGACUUUGUUUGAUUUGGAAAGCAUGAGAAAGCUUCUUUUUCACUGAGCGGUGCGUAACGAUGAUCAAAUCACGUGGAUGAAUCUGUGAUAUCGAAGUUUGUGAGCUUUAGGGAAAAGUUCGUAAGUUUAAAGUUAGAUGAGUUAAAGACUUUUGGGAUGGAUAUCCGAGGAACAAGGGUUUGGCCUUCUCCUACAGAAGGUGAGAAUUCCAACUGGGACACCCUUCGUGGAAUCCAAUCUCGCCUCAAAGAGGCUCGUCUGUGCUCCAUGGUGUAUUCUCCCGAAAGUUCUGUGACUCGCAGCUUCAAUUACCGAGUUCUCGAUCAAUUAAGCCGUGGCGAGAUAAUAAAUUAGUCGGAACAAUCGAGUAUCGUGAUCGAAAUGAUAUUCGAAUGCGACGAGGAAAGAAUGACGAUCAUUCUGCGAAAUAAGGACGAGACGACCAUAGUUGUGUAUAUUUAACUCUCUACGUGAUGACACUUCCUCAGAUGUUAAUAACAAUCUAAUAAAAAUACCCAUAUAUCUUCCUUUGCCUACCGCUGUGAGGAAACGUUGGACGAAAUAACAAACCCUUCGUUUACGAGAAAAUCUACGUAAAACGAAAAAGAGUAAGAUACAAGAACGAAUAAAUUCUAGAGUGACAAUAAUGGAGACAAUAAUUUCCUAACGUCGUUUGUUUAGAUAUUGAAGAUUCGAAGUAUGCAAAGAAUGGACAUAAUAAUCAGACUAACGCCAAAAAUCAUCGUUCAAUAAUUUCGAGCAAUGUAGUGUCAUGGAAUAUUCAACAAUUUAUAUAACUUUCGCAAAACACGUAUUAACUAGGCAUAAAAUAAGAGAAGAUGAAAGAACAAUCAGGAUAAAACGCUUUAUGGAUCGUAUAUAAAUUACAAAUAAUCUGGGCCAAUAUAGAAAUGUCUUUAUCCGCAAUAAAGCUGCAGAGGGUAGCAUAAUAAUAUCGGUGGUGCAGUGGUAGGGAAAGAAUGGUCUGCGGAAGGUUGCUGAAGACAUAUGUGCUGGAUAACCCACGGUUACCCAGAAGUAUUCGUAAAUUACUUCGUUAAUGCGCGUCGACCCGGCAAGUCCUCCGUUAAUUCAGAGGAACUUCCCAUUAUCCUUAUCGAGCAUUGAAAUAUCGUGUGGGAGCCGUAGUUCGUACGACUAUUCGCUAAACACGAAUAAGAACGUAGCCAUGCAUACAUAGGAAAUAAUGGUAUGUCCGUAGCAAUUCGCGAUUACCCUGGCAAACCGUAUCUAAUGGCGAGAAAUGGAACGGUGUUUUCCGUUCGCUGAACAAUUUCGCGAGAAUCACUAGAGGCCAAAGAGGAUUAAAAAGGUUAGAAGAAAAUGGCCUGGCGAGUCUUUACGUAUAUCUCCAGAAAUAAAUAGAAGGAGGGACGCGUAUGCUUCUUUCUGUUUGCGUUUCUUCCUCUGUUUUCGUAACCUCUUAAACGAAAUUUCAAAUUGAACGAAAUGUCAGAGUGCAGAAAUGAUAUUUCGUCGAUACGAUAAAGUAGAGAUAUUAAAACGCUAGAAACGUUAAAUUAUUUAAAAAAUGAUUGCAUCUAUAGCGGAUAUAGAGAUUUAGAUUACAGUUUCUUUUUUCCUUCCUUUAAUUAGGCUGAUUUCGAGAAGUGGGAUAAAUUCAUUUCUACCUUCGAAAUUUUCCGCAGAUGCAUAAAAACUCAACAUUUGCAAUAAUGACCAUGAUUCAAACGAUACUAUCUUCCUUAUAUUUUUAAUUGUCGCGUAAUUUCUCAAUCUAUCGUCUACGCGAUAAAAUGACCAGCAUACUGAUUACGAGCUAAUAUUUUCGAUUCGUCAGACGCAUCUCUAAAUCAGAUAGAUGCGCUAUGUUACUCUCGUACGUACAUACUCGUAUAUAUCGACGCGGCCUACUUUAAGUUCGACUUCACUUCGAGCAGCCUCCCUUCGACCGUUUCUUCUAUCGCUAAAAGUUCCUUUUAACCCAUGUAGCCCAGCUCUUACCGGAUACUCUCGCUCGAUGAUGCAUGGAAGUUCUAAAAUUUCUUGUUGGUGCCAUCCGAAUCUCGAACGACCUUCGGUAUAGGAGUAGGAAGAAGCAAGAGAGGAAAAAGGAAGAAAAGCGACUUCUGCUCGGUCGACAUUAACCUGGAAACGCGAACCGUCGAUCCUGCGCGAAAAUAUCCUGGAAGCAACACCUACACGGUCUCGUCGGUCCCUUUAAUUUCCAUCUGCCUACUCCGACACCAUCGUCGACCAGAACGGAUUGCUUUCAGGAAAAUAGACGAGCCCUGUGUUCCGGUGGAACGAAGGACGACUGCGAUUUCACGAAUGAUUUCACUGGAACGCGUAUAACUCCGCGGAAAGACGGAAUACGAGUUUUCUUCGAGUAGAAUAGAAGCCUCUGAAUCACACUUUCGCGCGCCACCUGCUGUGAAAACAUUUCCCACAAUUUCACCGCUACAAAACGAAAUGCGUUUAUUGUUUUAACCUCCGCUAUUGUUUGUUUUUCACGUAGUUGCGACUGCGGUGAAAGUAGACCGUUUUGGAAGCUUGAGAAUUUGGAUCAUUUCAGCUGGAUCAUUUUUUAACUAGCAUCGUAAUGUAUUUUUUCACCAGUAGUGAAAACUUUCUUAGAAUGAAACGAGGUAUAAAAGAGUCGUUAUCGAUACGCGUUACUUGUCUUUUUAAUUUUAUGGUCUUAAAUCGAUCACAGCAGAGUCAAGGAUUGUGUCGUGUUCGCUUUUUCACGUUUCAAGGUAGUCGUUAAUUUUAGGGGACGCAGCCCCGAUAACCUUGAUCUUGACAACAUACGUCAAGGUUAAGAUCACCGGGGCCGCUUUCCCUAGAGUCUACGUUUAUCUUUAAUUCUAUCAUUUAACGCAAUAUACAUAACAUUCAGACAGACGAUGUACACAACAUAACAACAGAAGUAUAUGUUGAGUAAAAGUUAGGGAAUCAACAAACUUUCAUUCGAUACCUUGGCCGAUACCUUUUAAAUUAGCAUCCAAACCAGGUUUAUUUAUUGUGACACUGGAGAAAUUAAUUGUCAUAGAAUUUCCCAUUGCUGCGAAAGAAAAUAUUUCCACGAGUCACUUGAAGUUUUAUAUGGCUUCCAUCCGACAAAAAUAUCCGAAAGUAGGACAUAUACUUUAGGAAAAUCGAUGCAUUCAAUUUCGCGUGCAAUUUAUAAUACGGAAAAGUUGAUAGCCGGAAGCAACGCAAAAAAAUCGAACGCAGCGGGAAGAAAAUUCGAAGAAAGCCAUCAGGAAGCAUCGUCGUAAAACACCUAAGAAAAAGCUAACUACUCUGAAGUCUACAGAAAAGCCAGAAGCGGAAUAACGAAAAAUCGGUUCUUCCACGUUUCUAAUUUCUGUAUAAAUAAACGAUGAAGAUGUUCAGAGCAAAAAACACAAAUGAAGAGCGAAGAAGAUAAAUAGUAUCGUUGAAUAUUCAAAAAUGGUUGGUAACAUUUUUGAGAAAGAAAAGUAUACAUUAAAACAUGUUUGCCAUUUUGCAAACCUGGUAGUAUAUAGAUACUACUCCAACACAGCUCUAUUAGAACUUGAAUUCGGAAAUGUUGAUAAAUUUUGUAUCGAUUACUUUUGAACUGGCACACGAACAUUAUUUUCUUUUUUUCAAUAGUCAUAAUACUUUGUAUACACGCGUGUAACUUGUAUUUUGGAAUAGGCAUAAAGGCAGAAAUAUUCGGAUGAUCUACAGAGUUGCAGCAGGGGAAGUCGUAUUUCGCGACAUAAACGAGCGUCAUUUGACGCUACUUUCGAUACGGCUAGAGUUAGUAGAGCAGAAAACAAGCUAAUUCAAAGGCAGCGACUAGACGUUCCUAUGAACGAAAAGGGGCUUAAAGGAAGCACAUCGAUCGAUGGUGCCGGCUUUAAUAGCCAGUGUUUAUCGUCAAUACGAAACUCCUGAGGCGAAGACACCUUAUAUGUGUAGGACGGUCUCUUAUGCUCUGUCAGACACAAAUCAGAGAUGUGCCUUUGAUUACAAACGCUGACUGAAAGCUGAGGAGCCACGUACGUUUGGCAAUUAGGGAAAUAUUUCGAGUUUCCUUCCAAUCUAAUUUUAGUUUUCCUCAGUUACGCAAACGUAAUUAACGUUUCAUCGGUGGACAAAUAUUUCAUACUUUAGAAACGUACACACGACGUUAUAAUUAAGUAAACGUAACGAAGAUCGGUAAAUAUACCUUAGUGAAUGUUUAAAAUGUAAUCUUUUUUGAUCGCGAUCUGACGCUAUAAGUCAGCUUUUUAUAACUUUCGUAAUUAUUUAUUCAAUCUCCUAGGCGGAUUCCAUUUUGGUUAUUUAUCCGCGAAAUAGCUUUACCAAUUAACAACGUACAAUAUCCGUCUGGCUGUCUGGAUCGUAAAUAGCAAUUCAAUCUGCUGUUUAAUAAGAUAUGUCGAUAAAAUUUGCUUCGUGACAAAACUUCGCUGUUCUACUCGUGUGCAUUCCACAACACACGAAACAAUCGUUCUAAAGAUAGGUUCGAUUCGGCAGACAAACGCUAUAUCCAGUCAAAUUGGGAUUCACACAUGUGGGAAAACUACACGAGGAGAGAAACGGUUGAGAAAAGGGAGGAAUUCGUGCAAGGAACUGUUACGCGAUUGAGAGACAUGGUUUGAACCAAGACUGCGUGACUUAGGUAUAUAAGCUAAGAUAUUGGUACGGGAAUGGACGGAACGUUGUACGACUAACAACGGGAUCCACUUAAGGAAAGCGUGGAUAAGCUGGGAUCUUCUAAGAUGAGUGUAUCUCGUAAUCUGCUAUCACGUGGUAACUCAAAUAACUUCACGGCGGAUAUCUAAAAUAGACUGUAUGAAUCAAACUGAAUAAAAGGAUAUCUGAUGUAUAA